rnacentral:rRNA from 1 species
GACAGAGGGUGCAAACGUUGUUCGGAAUUACUGGGCGUAAAGAGCGCGCAGGCGGUCGUUCAAGUCGCGUGUGAAAGCCCCCGGCUCAACUGGGGAGGGUCACGCGAUACUGAUCGACUCGAAGGCAGGAGAGGGUAGUGGAAUUCCCGGUGUAGUGGUGAAAUGCGUAGAUAUCAGGAGGAACACCGGUGGCGAAGGCGGGUCUCUGGGCCGAAACUGACGCUGAGGAGCGAAAGCGUGGGGAGCAAACAGG